UAAUUAAAUUCCUCUACUAUAUAAAGACCACCAAGUCAUAUCAAACUCUCAUUCCUCACCACAAGCAAAAAUCUUAAGUAAUUAUGCAAGAAGAAAGUUGUUCAUGAUAAUGGUUGGCAUCAAGAAAAAGAAAACCAAUUCUACAUGAUAGCAUGGUUUCUUUUUCUUUUAUUCUUUUAACUCAAUUGAAUCAAUGAAUCACCAUGAUGGAUUUGGAGUUUUAGUGUCUGCGAGGUCUGGAAAUAUAUAGCUAGGAUAAUAUAAUAAAGGCAACAAGCUCCAUCCAUAUGGAUCUGACCCAACGGAUGAGAGAUUAUCCAACGUGAUCUUAUAAUCCUUUUCUUUUGGGACGAUCCAGAAGAGAGAACUGAGAGAUGGCCCUGAGGGCGACAAAUAGAGGUCAAAUUGUUACACAGUUUAAUCACAUAGUUUGAUUUCUAAAGACGUUUUGACCGAUGAUAUCCACUUGAACCUCUGAUGUUCUUAUUAAUUACAUGUAUUUAAAAACAAAGGCUAAGAGAUGCAUUGGCAAAAUGUACCUCUUUUCUAUACAAGAUUGCUAUGAGAAUCCUAGUAGUCCAUGGAAGAAGUAUAUUUAGUAGUCCUGUCUUAGGUACCCUUGAUCACCUUUAUUAAACAAUAUAUGAUAUUGUAAAAUAUUUAUGUGUCAUUGUAAAUUAGAAAAAAUAUUUUUCUACCUUGUAAUAUCGCGAUGAAAAUACAAUAUAUGUAAUAUCAUUAGAUGCUAUGACAAUUCUUUGUUGGAAAAA